AGUCUAGUAGCUUAAUAGUCAAAGCAUUGGUGUGUAAAGCCAAAGGUCUCGGGUUCGAUUUCCGCCCAGGGUG
rnacentral:tRNA from 1 species